rnacentral:rRNA from 1 species
AACGCUAGCUACAGGCUUAACACAUGCAAGUCGAGGGGCAGCAUGACCUAGCAAUAGGUUGAUGGCGACCGGCGCACGGGUGAGUAACACGUAUCCAACCUACCGGUUAUUCCGGGAUAGCCUUUCGAAAGAAAGAUUAAUACCGGAUAGCAUAACGAGAAGGCAUCUUCUUGUUAUUAAAGAAUUUCGAUAACCGAUGGGGAUGCGUUCCAUUAGUUUGUUGGCGGGGUAACGGCCCACCAAGACAUCGAUGGAUAGGGGUUCUGAGAGGAAGGUCCCCCACAUUGGAACUGAGACACGGUCCAAACUCCUACGGGAGGCAGCAGUGAGGAAUAUUGGUCAAUGGACGAGAGUCUGAACCAGCCAAGUAGCGUGAAGGAUGACUGCCCUAUGGGUUGUAAACUUCUUUUAUAUGGGAAUAAAGUGCAGUAUGUAUACUGUUUUGUAUGUACCAUACGAAUAAGGAUCGGCUAACUCCGUGCCAGCAGCCGCGGUAAUACGGAGGAUCCGAGCGUUAUCCGGAUUUAUUGGGUUUAAAGGGAGCGUAGGCGGACUAUUAAGUCAGCUGUGAAAGUUUGCGGCUCAACCGUAAAAUUGCAGUUGAUACUGGAUGUCUUGAGUGCAGUUGAGGCAGGCGGAAUUCGUGGUGUAGCGGUGAAAUGCUUAAAUAUCACGAAGAACUCCGAUUG